rnacentral:rRNA from 1 species
CACGUAGGGUGCGAGCGUUUGUCCGGAAUCAUUGGGCGUAAAGAGCGUGUAGGCGGCCCGGUAAGUCCGCUGUAAAAGUCAAAGGCUCAACCUUUGAAUGUCAGUGGAUACUGCCGGGCUAGAGUCCGGAAGAGGCGAGUGGAACUCCUGGUGUAGCGGUGGAAUGCGCAGAUAUCAGGAGGAACACCAGUGGCGAAGGCAGGCUCGUGG